UGUAAAGAAACGGAUGAACUAGAACUUCUGGAAAAUAUCAAUAAAAUCAAAACAUUGGAACGUAACGAGUUACUGAAAAUGAAAACCAAUAUUUAGAAGAAAUCUGUGGAGUGACUGACAGUCAAGACAAGCUUAUCCGUCAAGUUAACAAGUCCCCAGGGAAAUCAAAGAUGGAUGUAAUCUGCUUGAGCUUUCAGAGCUUUAUUCAAAGCUUUUUCUCAAAUUGAAAUUGGAAGCAACUUGGAAUUAAAAGCUUGUAAACAUC